ACUUCUCUCUUCACUGGUUUUUACACCUCCAAGCACCAAACCACUAAACACGCACGCAACAAACAGAGAACUAAUAAGAGAAGUUGCUUCUGUAGCAACUGAAAGAUGAAAAUGGAGGAGCACCAAGAAAGCAGCAAGAAGAGAGCCCGCAAAAGAGAAACGAGAAAACCAAUAACCGCUUCCGCUUCCGCUUCUCUCCCUUAACAGCACUACCACCGUAUUCCCUCUCUUACUAGCUGCAACAACCCAACCCGCCAACACUCAAAACAACACACCCAGUAAUAAUUUCGAAAUCCUAAUCAAUACACUCUUAACCAAACUACACCACUCUCUCCUUCCAAACAACCAAACAUUUCCCAUUUCAGUCCUCUCCUUGUUUCCUAUCCUCAUGAACUCCAAGUGUGCAGCAAUUGCGUGUCGAAGUGCGGAAAUUGUUGGGUUGGCUUCGCUGGUGUCAAUGGAAAUGAAUGAACUGGUUGCUUUGGAUAUGGGGACAGUGAAAGGUUUGAUCUUGAUGAUAGUGAUUAGAAAAAGGAAACUUUCAGUGGCUGCUUGUGAUGCCCUUUUGGACUUGUCCACUACUUUGAUUGGAAGACAAAGGUUCCUGUAUCUUCGAUAAAGGUUUCUUUAUAUAAUGAAAAUGGGAGUAGUAUUGCCUGUGCCAGGAUAACUUUUAAAGAAGAUGGAACAUUCAGUGUCACUUCUUCAUACUGCUAUUACUUUCAUUAAUACUUGCAACAUUGAGCACUUGGAAAAGAUCCCAUCGAAGCUGUCUGAAAAAUUCUUGGAUUCUAUGAAAAGUUUGUGGGAAAAAGUGCACAAUCAGAUGUUACUUGGCAAUGCUUGGAUGUCCUUUCAAGAGAGGGAUUUAAAUUUGGGCAAUGUUACAGUUAACAAUCUGGCAGAAAGUAUUUUUAACUUCUCUAUUAAUACCAGUGAACUUGUGAUUCCUUUGCCAUCUGUGUUAGUUGAAAGAAAGAUCUUUGGUUGAAGAGAGCUAAGUUUUGAAAAUUUCGUGUUACAUCACUGUGAGCCUCUCCUUCUCAUGUAAGAAGGCUGUCAGUGUCCUUAAUUGAGGAAGAUGACAUUUUUAGUUCAAUUGCACAAUCGCUAAACUGAAAGAAGCAUCUCCUACCUUUGUUUCAUAUGUACUUCAAAGUUUAGUUUCAUGUGUACCUAUUGCUUCAGAUGAACUGAACAUCUUAAGUUUCCUGGAGGAGGUGAGAAGUUAAUUGGGUUGUCCUAUAAUCAACCAGGAGGACAUAUGAGUAGUAAGAACAGAGCACCCUUCAAAGAAAGAGGUGCAUUUCUUUCAAAAGAAAUUUGAUCCAUCCUGCUUUAGGAAACAUGCUUUCAAUGCUAUGGAUAUUAUGAAAUGUGAAGAAGCAUUUAAAGAGGACCAUACAAUAGCUCUGAGUUUUGGCUUACAAGUAUUGCAGCUCUUGCAGAUGGUUACAAGUAUAUACUGGACACCACCUAAUUCUCAGGGAUGGGAUAGUCACUGUGAUGACGAUUGUGUGUUUGUAUGCCAACUCUUUGGAACCAAGCAAUGGACAAUCUAUUCACAACCAAAUUUGCUGUUACCUCGUUUGUAUGAUCCUCUUGAUAGAGAAGAAUGUUUUGCGGAAGAAAAUUCUUUGGCUGGACAUAGAAAGCUCCUGUUGAGGGAAGGUGGCAUUUUGUAUAUUCCAAGAGGCUUUCCUCACGAGGCAUGUACACAUGACGUUGGGUCUAGUGAUUUAGCUAGAUUUUCCUUACGUCACAUCUGGUAUUGAGGUGGAACCUCCUUUUGAGUGGGAGGGCUUUGCGCAUGUUGCACUCCUUUGCUGGUACCGGACCCAAAAACAGCUGCAUCGUGCUUCAUUUGAGCCAUUGUCUGGAAUUCUGGAUCUGAUGCCUGUGACUUUAUUGCAUGUAAUGAUUGAAGUAAUUGGGGCUUCUGAUUCUACCUCGCGGAAAGCUUCCUUAGUUGGUGCUCAUUUUUGCCUUUGGAAGCCAAUGAUCGGCUUAAUUUGGACCAGAAAACCACAUUCAACAAUAUUAUUGAUCAAUUUAUUAAGGCAUCGAGGUUCUUGGAAGUAUUCAGUUGUGUGGAAGUAGCUAUUGAAACGAACAAGGAUCCUUUUCAUCGGAAGAGGUGGCUCAGGCUUCUCUAUUAGAAGACAGAAACCAUUCAAGAACAUGAUUGGAAUUUAGCUUUCUACGAAUUUCAUAAUUUAUUUCCUUCAAGUGCUCAAGUUAAAUCUAAGUUCUGUCAUGAAGUGUUAUUUGAGGAUGUGAUUGAUAGCUGCAAACUACUAUUCGAGAAGUACAAGAAAGCCAUAUAUGAAUGGAAUGCGCUCGCUACAUUGUAAUGUAUCUCUUUCCUCCAAAUUAGAUUUAGAUUAUCAUGUUUUUU